UACGUAGGGUGCGAGCGUUAAUCGGAAUUACUGGGCGUAAAGCGUGCGCAGGCGGUGAUGUAAGACAGGUGUAAAAUCCCCGGGCUUAACCUGGGAACUGCAUUUGUGACUGCAUCGCUGGAGUGUGGCAGAGGGGGGUGGAAUUCCGCGUGUAGCAGUGAAAUGCGUAGAGAUGCGGAGGAACACCGAUGGCGAAGGCAGCCCCCUGGGCUAACACUGACGCUCAGGCACGAAAGCGUGGGGAGCAAACAGG
rnacentral:rRNA from 1 species